rnacentral:rRNA from 1 species
CCUACGGGGGGCAGCAGGCGCGAAAACUUUACCAUGCGGGCAACCGUGAUAAGGAAACCCCGAGUGCCAGCACAGGCUGGCUGUCCGCCAGUGUAAAUAACUGGUGAAGAAAGGGCCGGGCAAGACCGGUGCCAGCCGCCGCGGUAAUACCGGCGGCUCGAGUGGUGGCCACUAUUACUGGGCUUAAAGGGUCCGUAGCUUGAUAUGCAAGUCUCUUGAGAAAUCCGCCAGCUUAACUGGUGGGCGUUCAGGGGAAACUGCAUUUCUAGGGACCGGGAGAGGUGAGAGGUACUGCCGGGGUAGGAGUGAAAUCCUGUAAUCCCGGUGGGACCACCUAUGGCGAAGGCAUCUCACCAGAACGGGUCCGACAGUGAGGGACGAAAGCUGGGGGAGCAAACCGGAUUAGAUACCCUAGUAGUCGA